AUGGACCUGGACGGCUUCCCACUUGACCAUGAGUUUCCGGAUGACUACGGGCAAGAGGAAGAAGACGAGUGCGACAUCAAAGUGGAGACUUUGUUUGAGGACGAGCUCGCCAACCAAGCCGCCGGGCCGAAGCCGAAGCGCAAAAGCAACCGCACGAAGGCAUACACGACGGCCGAGGACAAGCUUCUUUGCGAGUGUUGGAGGGACAUUGGACAAGACCCCAAGACCGGCGCCGAACAAAAGCAUUCAACUUUUUGGAUUCGUGACCACCGGGAGUUUCAUGAGCGCAAGAAGUUUCCUCCUUACCAACUCCAAGAAGGAUGA
rnacentral:rRNA from 1 species